GGGGGUGAUCGGGAAGAGGCGCGACCUGGGGCCCUAGGAAGGGUGGUCUUUCCCGCAGAGUUGCCGCUAGAGGACGGAAAGUUUGCACAUGCAGCCCUCUCACCGUGUCCUUCCCUCGCCGGUCCCUGUCGCCCGCGGUGAGGCGCCCCCGGGGGGAUCCCCGCGACUUAGAGGGGAGGAGCCGAGCAGGAUUCUGCAGAUGCCUUUGGGAGCUGAGACCAACGAGUAGAGGGAAGUGGUGCUAAAAAGCAGACACCGUGCUUGACGUCAUUCAUCCAUCCAUCCCUCCAUCCAUCUAUCCAUCCAUCCAUCCAUUCAUCUUGUCAACAAAUAUUGCCUGUCAGGGACCAGCCUGCAUCAGCAGAGGAAGACAAAUGAGACCCAGCCCAGCUCUUGUGGAGAUGCAGUCUGGCGGUCUCUGUGGAAGAAGGAAGGUGUGAAACUUAUCACCAACUUGGGAAAACAAGACAGACACAGUUACUGACCAGUGAAUGGUGUGUCUCUCAGAGCUGUGCCUGUUCAUAGGAGGAACUGAAAUCUGGUUUAGAGUGAUCAGAAAGUGCGUCACAGAGAAGAUGGGAUCUGCUUUGCAUCUUGGAAAUUGGGAAGGAUCUAUAAUGGAUGUAUUGGACUAUGGCAGCUGGUUAAAAAAGUAGUGCUGUGGUAUCAUAGUGUGAAGGCCUGAACUUUGCUGGUCCCAUGCCGGUGAGAAGAGGAGACAGGCGUGAGAAACUCUAUGAAGAAAGCGCCUCCUCAGAGGGGGAAGUCCACCAUCACGUUGUGAACUGCCCUAUGAAGAGGCACAGGUGGCGAGGAACUGAGGGGGCCUCUGGCCAACAGUCAGUGAGGAACUGAAGCCCACAGUCCAACAGCCUGUGAGGUGCUGAAUCCUGCCAACAGCCAUGUGAGUGAGUUUGGCAGCUUCUCCUCCUCCAGUCGGGCUUUGAGAUGAGACCACAGCCUUGGCCCACACCUGCGAGGGACUUUGAGGCAGAGGCACUCAGCUAAGUCAUGCCUGUAUGCCUGACCCACAUACGCUAGAAUGACCACCUAACCCUCAUCAACCACUUUGCUGUCGUGGGCUUCUUUCAUCACACAGAAACCUAGCAAGGGUAUGGUGGGAGCUGUGACACCCAUCUUCACGACGAGAAAAACCCAAAGUCCUUUCACUUUCAAUACAUGAAGGCCAGAUUAUGUUAUCGGAUGAAUACUAUUUGCAGAAUCAAAGAAAACAUACGGAUAAGCCAGCCCUGGUGGUCUAGUGGUUAAGAUUCCGUGGAGCACCGUCGCCCAGGUUUGAUUCUGGUCAAGAAACCACACCACCUGUCUGUUGAUUGUCAUAUUGUGGCAGCUGCGUGCUACUGUGAAGCUGAAGGCUAUGCCACCAAUAUUUCAAAUACCAGCAGGGUCACCCAUGGUGGACAGGCUUCAGUGGAGCUUCCAGACUAGAAGGAGUAGGAAGAAGGACCCACACCCACUGCUGAAAAAACUGGCCAUGAAAACCCUAGGAAUAGCAGCAGAACAUUGUCUGAUAUAGCACCAGAAGAUGAGAGGAGAGGAUGAUGCAAAAAAGACCAGGCAGGGUUCCACUCUGCUGUACACAGGGUCACUAGGAAUUGGAAUCCCCUCCACGGCACUAACAACAGAGAUAUGGACACUACAUGAUAUUAUGUAUUUAGAACUAUAUAAUAACAUAGUCAAGAUAGAUAAACAUAAUCACGUUUUUAAAUAAUCACUUUUAAAGACUCAUAGUAUUCUAGUGAAUGGUUGUCCUUAAAAUAUGAUAUAUUUAAAUCCUCAAUUUUGGACAUUUAAAUUGUUUAUUUAUAUAUUAUUAACAAUGUUAUAAUAAAUGUUUUCUGUAGCUAAAUCUUUUCACACAUUGGUGAUUAUUUAGGAUGCUUUCUUAUAAAUGAAAUUAAUAAGUCAAAGGGGAUAUGUAUUUAACAUUUUGAAAUUGUCAAACUUAGCCAGUAUAUGAGAAUUCCAACUCAUGGCCUCAUCUGUGCUGUAUCUAUUAUUCUUUUUCAUCUUUCAGUCUGAUAGGAAAGAAUUUCUUCUCUUGGUUAUUUCAGAUGUAUCUCUGAUUAUUGAUGAUUCAUAUUUCUUUUGUAACAAAUUUCUCAUUUUUCUAUUAGAGUGUUCACCUUUCUCCUAUUGAAUUGUGAAAGCUCUUUAUAUAUUAAAUAAAGUAACCA